rnacentral:rRNA from 1 species
CCUACGUGAGGCUGCAGUGGGGAAUAUUGGGCAAUGGGCGCAAGCCUGACCCAGCAACGCCGCGUGAAGGAAGAAGGCUUUCGGGUUGUAAACUUCUUUUAUCAGGGACGAAGCAAGUGACGGUACCUGAUGAAUAAGCCACGGCUAACUACGUUCCAGCAGCCGCGGUAAUACGUAGGUGGCAAGCGUUAUCCGGAUUUACUGGGUGUAAAGGGCGUGUAGGCGGGAGUGCAAGUCAGAUGUGAAAACUAUGGGCUAAACCCAUAGCCUGCAUUUGAAACUGUACUUCUUGAGUGGUGGAGAGGCAAUCGGAAUUCCGGGUGUAGCGGUGAAAUGCGGAGAUAUACGGAGGAACACCAGUGGCGAAGGCGGAUUGCUGGACAGUAACUGACGCUGAGGCGCGAAAGCGUGGGGAGCAAACAGGAUUAGAUACCCCAGUAGUC